rnacentral:rRNA from 1 species
UCAUUGAAUUUUUUCAAAUUCAGGAUGUCGUAAGGGAAAAUAAUGAUAAUACCUUACUAUGAGUGUCGUCCAAAUCUGGUGCCAGAAGACUCGGUAAGACCAGAGACGCAAACGUUAAUCAUCAUAAACAGGCGUAAAGGGUUUGUAGGCAGCUUUUAUAAGAUUAUGAUUGCAACAAACUAAAGGGUAAUCUAAAUUAAAAGCUAGAAUCAAAAAGAGGUUAUAGUGUAUAACGCCUAGAGGAGGGCUGAUAUCCAUAGAUCCUAGGCAGAAUACUCAGGGCGAAGGCCACUCUCCACUAAUGAUUGACGCUGAGAAACGAAGGUUAGGGUAGGAAAUAGGAUUAGAUACCCCGGUACUCCUUUCUGUAAACGAUGAAUGGUAGUCAUUAGUUAAAUUAAAAUAACUAGAGGCGAAGUUAACACAAUAACCAUUCCGCCUUGUGAGUACUACUGCAAAGUAGAAAACAAAAAAAUUAGUCGGUCUCGAAGCAAACGGAGUGAAGCAUGUUAUUUA